rnacentral:rRNA from 1 species
UACGGGGGGAGCAAGCGUUGUUCGGAUUUACUGGGCGUAAAGGGCUCGUAGGCGGUCUGUUGCGUCGGGAGUGAAAACUCAGGGCUUAACCCUGAGCCUGCUUCCGAUACGGGCAGACUAGAGGUAUGCAGGGGAGAACGGAAUUCCUGGUGUAGCGGUGAAAUGCGCAGAUAUCAGGAGGAACACCGGUGGCGAAGGCGGGUCUCUGGGCAGUAACUGACGCUGAGGAGCGAAAGCGUGGGUAGCAAACAGG